UAUGCAACACAGUCUGGGAGCAAGAUAGAGUGUGAGAAACGGAGAGACAGGGUGCGGCCAACCACCACCUCCGGUGGCGGAGCCAUGACGGAUCUGUCGGCGUCUUCUCAGCAUCGGGGAGUGUUGUACCCCUACCUACAGAGCAGAAGACAAGGAAUCCGGUGAGGCGGUGCGAGCUAGGGUUCUGACGAGACUCCGGUUAACUCCUGCAUGAAUUCCGGCCUCCGGUUAAGCUCCGACGACUUCUCCGAUUACCGAUCUGGGUCUGCAUGUUGUUAAAUCUUAAUUCUUAAAGAUCAGUGGAUGACCCGUAUCCGGAAGUCAGCGUGGGUACAAAGGACGGAUGGCAACAGUGGUUGCUGGAACUUAUCUUGAUUCAAGAACUGAUAUGGGUGUUUGUUUGAUAGAUCUUAGUCAGCUGAAAGCUUAAGUUUUUUCAAGAAAAUUGAUCAAGAUGGUGAGAGGGAAGACUCAAAUGAGGAGAAUGCUAAAGUUGCUUUGAUCAUCUUCUCUCCAAGAGGGCUUUAGCCUCGUCUCUUUAGAUCAAGUGCAAGAGAGCUUCUUUAGAUUCAUGUGCAAGAGUGACAAAAAUAAAAUAAACUAGCAAAAACGGAGUUUUAAGGGUCGUACUGCUCAUCAUUUUACUUGCAGCACUUUUAUAUUAUGUCAAAAGUGAGGGUUUGCUUCUGUACAACAUGCAUAAAUUUUGCCUCUCAAAUCUCAUGACUACAAUUGUAUAACCAGUCUAUUAGAGUUUGUUAGGAAUAUUAUAAAUGACAUAAACAAAUUUGUAUUUAUUGGUUUCAAGUAUGUAGCUAAAUAGAAAUAUGAAAUAUAGUUGGUUCGGAACAGUUUGGUUGAUU
rnacentral:lncRNA from 1 species